rnacentral:tRNA from 26 species
GUCGGGAUAGCUCAGUUGGUAGA